rnacentral:rRNA from 1 species
ACUCGAGUGGCGAACGGGUGAGUAACACGUGGGUGAUCUGCCCUGCACUUCGGGAUAAGCUUGGGAAACUGGGUCUAAUACCGGAUAGGAGCCAUCUUUAGUGAGGUGGUUGGAAAGUUUUUCGGUGUAGGAUGAGCUCGCGGCCUAUCAGCUUGUUGGUGGGGUAAUGGCCUACCAAGGCGGCGACGGGUAGCCGGCCUGAGAGGGUGUACGGCCACAUUGGGACUGAGAUACGGCCCAG